AAAUACUACCUGAUGACCGAUAGAGGAGCAGUACCGUGAGGGAAAGGUGAAAAGGACCCCGGGAGGGGAGUGAAAGAGAACCUGAAACCUUGUGCCUACAAGCACAUAGAGCACAUCAACGUGUGAUAUGGUACCUUUUGUAGAAUGGUCCGGCGAGUGAAUGUCACUAGCGAGGUUAAGGACUUAAGGUCUGCAGCCGAAGCGAAAGCGAGUCUUAAUAGGGCGACAAUAGUUAGUGGUAUUCGACCCGAAACCGAGUGACCUAGCCAUGAGCAGGCUGAAGUGGAGGUAAAACUCCAUGGAGGGCCGAACCCACUCCCGUUGAAAUGGUAGGGGAUGACUUGUGGCUAGCGGAGAAAUUCCAAUCGAACUCGGAGAUAGCUGGUUCUCUCCGAAAUAGCUUUAGGGCUAGCCUCAAAUAACAUUACCGCAGGUAAAGCACUGAAUGGGCUAGGGGGCGAAAGCUUACUGAACCCUAUCAAACUAAGAAUGGCGGAUAAUGAAUAUUUGGGAGUCACACUACGUGAGAUAAGUUUCGUGGUGGAAAGGGAAACAGCCCAGACCCACAGCUAAGGUCCCAAAGUACAGUUAAGUGGAAAAGGAUGUGAAGUUGCGCAGACAACCAGGAUGUUGGCUCAGAAGCAGCCACUCAUUCAAAGAGUGCGUAAUAGCUCACUGGUCGAGUGAUUUUGCGCCGAAAAUUUAACGGGGCUAAACUGUACACCGAAGCUUGGGAAUAUACCUCUGGUAUGUUGGUAGGAGAGCGUCGUAUGCGGGGUGAAGUCGUAGCGAAAGCGGCGGUGGACUGCAUAGGAGUGAGAAUGCCGGAAUGAGUAGCGAGAAUUAUGUGAGAAUCAUAAUGGCCGAAAGACUAAGGUUUUAGAAGGAAGGUUCGUCCGCUUCUAGUUAGCCGGGAGCUAAGGCGAGGCCGAAAGGCGUAGUCGAUGCACAUACGGUUGAGAUUCCGUAGCCACCUUAAAUUUAAACUAAGGGACACAUUGAAAGGGAAUAACCCAGGCGUUGGUUGACCUGGGCGUAAGGGAACGAAAAUAAGUAGUGAAGUAUUCUUGGACAGUGGCGAGAAAAGCUUAGUGUAUAUUAUUAGGGUGCCCGUACUGCAAACCGACACAGGUAGUCAGGAAGAGAAUUCUAAGGCCAUCGGGAGAAGCGUUGUUAAGGAACUCGGCAAAUUGACCCCGUAACUUCGGAAUAAGGGGUGCUCACGCGAGUGAGCCGCAGUGAAUAGGUCCAGGCAACUGUUUAUCAAAAACACAGCUCUCUGCUAAAUCGUAAGAUGACGUAUAGGGGGUGACACCUGCCCGGUGCUGGAAGGUUAAGAGGAGGAGUGCAAGCUCCGAAUUGAAGCCCCAGUAAACGGCGGCCGUAACUAUAACGGUCCUAAGGUAGCGAAAUUCCUUGUCGGGUAAGUUCCGACCCGCACGAAUGGUGUAACGACUUGUGAGCUGUCUCAACAGGGGGCCCGGUGAAAUUGAAGUAUGGGUGAAGAUGCCCAUUACCCGCGACUGGACGGAGAGACCCCGUAGAGCUUUACUGCAGCCUGAUAUUGAGUUUCGGUAACUGAUGCACAGGAUAGGUGGGAGUCUGAGAGACAUGGGUUUCGGCUCAUGUGGAGACGGUGUUGGGAUACCACUCUUCGGUUACUGAAAUUCUAACAUAGCUCUGUGAAACCAGAGGAUGGACAGUGUCAGGUGGACAGUUUGACUGGGGCGGUCGCCUCCGAAAGAGUAACGGAGGCGCCCAAAGGUACCCUCAGAAUGGAUGGAAACCAUUCGAAGAGCGCAAAGGCAGAAGGGUGCCUGACUGCGAGAUUGACAAAUCGAGCAGAGACGAAAGUCGGGCUUAGUGAUCCGGCGGUAUUGAGUGGAAAAGCCGUCGCUUAACGGAUAAAAGCUACCUCGGGGAUAACAGGCUGAUCUCCCCCAAGAGUCCACAUCGACGGGGAGGUUUGGCACCUCGAUGUCGGCUCAUCGCAUCCUGGGGCUGUAUUCGGUCCCAAGGGUUUGGCUGUUCGCCAAUUAAAGCGGCACGCGAGCUGGGUUCAGAACGUCGUGAGACAGUUCGGUCCCUAUCCAUCGUGGGCGUAGGAGUCAUGAGAGGAGCUGUUCCUAGUACGAGAGGACCGGAAUGGACGCACCACUGGUGCAACUGUUGUCGUGCCAACGGCAUAGCAGGGAAGCGAAGUGCGGACGGGAUAAACGCUGAAGGCAUCUAAGCGUGAAGCCCACCUCAAGAAUAAGACUCCACAAUAGACCCCUGGAGGACUACCAGGUAGAUAGGUCAUCGGUGGAAGCGCUGUAAGGCGUGU
rnacentral:rRNA from 1 species